GACGGAGUCUCGCUCUGUCGCCCAGACUGGAGUGCAGUGGCGCAAUCUCGGCUCACUGCAAGCUCUGUCUUCCGGGUUCAUGCCAUUCUCCUGCCUCAGCCUCCUGAGUAGCUGGGACUACAGGCGCCCGCCAUUACGCCCGGCUAAUUUUAUUUUAUUUUAUUUUUAGUAGAGACAGGGUUUCACUGUGUUAGCCAGGAUGGUCUGUGUCUCCUGACCUCGUGAUCCACCCGCCUCGGCCUCCCAAAGUGCUGGGAUUACAAAAUGCGUGAGCCACCACGCCCGGCUGAUGGUUUUAUUAAUAUAAGGGACUUUAACCCUUUGCUCAGGACUUCUACUUGCUGCUGCCAUGUGAAGAAGGACAUAUUUGCUUCCCCUUUCACCAUGAUUGUAAGUUUCCUGAGGCCUCCCCAGCCCUGCAGAACUAAAAGCAAUUUUGUUAAUCACUUUAGCACCAAUUCUUGCAUCCCUGGCAAUACUCAGAACUGCUUCCAUCCAAGUCUUUGAUGUGGGAAAGAAACACACACACACUCUUUCGCAUGUAAUCUGAAAACAAUUCACCUCUUGCCAAUGAAUGCACAGCACUCCACUUUAAUAGAGAGCAAGUUCUGUGGAGGUUUCUAAUCCUUUCUGCCAAAGAAGAGAAGAGAGAGAAUCACUCAGCUUCUAUUGCAGAUGUGAAGUUUAGCAUUUCUUUGCUCACUCUUUUACUGGGAAACUCUUCUAGCGGAAAGCCUGUCAUCUGUUGUGAAGGAGAGCUGGUGUUGACUUGAAGCAACAGAGUUGGUGGUCCAGUGGCCAUUGUCCUGUGUUAGGAGCAGGUGGUCUCGCUAAGCUCCAUGUGUUUGGAAAUUUCUCUGACCAGUGCUUGUUCUGCUAAAGGAAGAAGAGCUCAAGCUGCACUCCUUGUUUCCAGGAUCCCAUCCAGAAUACAUUACCUUUAGUCAUCAUGUCUCCUGUGGCUCUUCUUGGCUGUGACAGUUUCUCAGCUUUCCCAGUUUUAAUGAACUUGCCAUUUUCAUCAGAUUGUACCAAGACCUACUAUCAAUAUGACUUAUGACUAGUGGUGCUGACCUUGAUCACCUGGCUGAGGUAGUUCUUGUCAGGCUUCUCCACUGUCGAGUUGCUCUCCCCAUCCCCCUUUUCCAUAUUGUACUCUUUGAAAGAAAGUCACUAUAUGCAGCCCUUCCUUAAAAAUAUUAAAAUGAACUAGCUUAAUUAAGUUCUUUCUUACA